CCCUCGAGGCUCUGGGCAGGAUGGUAGGAAGCAAAGAUGCAGCUGCAGGCAGUGGGCUGUGGGCUGGAGCAGUGCAGCCAGGCACGGCCUCACGGCUCACAGUAUGGGCACACAGAGGAAGUUCAUCCAGCUGAGGGCUGCUGGGCUGUCCUUACCAUACACUCUCCCAUCCUACAGGUCUGCACAGACUGCAGCAGUUGCUCAAGCAUUUUCCACUGCAGGAGCUCACAAGCGACAACUCCAACCCUGACCUAUACAGAUCACAACCUGAAGCAGUGAUGGAGCACCUGGUGAGGGGUGUAGACCUAUGAGCACAGGUGGAAGCAAUGCACCUGUGGGACCAGACGGGGCUGAGCCUGUCUCCACCCCUCCCUAACCUCAUUUAAGGGCUGGCAGCCCCAGAGGCAUUGUCUUUUUCUGGAGGCUGUGGAUUGCUCGUCCUUGGAAAGAGGUAAGUGAUUUUUUUUUUAUUUUUUUUGUUUGUUUGUUUAUUGCAGGGUUUUGAUCUCUGCCUUUCUGAGAGGAUUCUAUGCUGGUUUAGGGUAGCUAUAUCUGCUAUGCCUGUCCUUAUGAUGCCCUUCAUUUGUUCUCUGAGAAAAGUGAAGGGGUUGUCUCCCUUUCUCUGACCUGGUAGUAGAGGAACUGACAUACAUUCAUUUCUUUUGUUAUUAUCUUAUUUCUAGAAUGCUUCAAUCACACCCAAGGUAAUGCUGGUUGGCUUACUGAGCAUUGCAACUCUGGAAAUGCCUGCAACUGGUGCUCUUUUCCAUAAAGGGAUUCUGUGCUUUCCAGAUCUUCUUUGCAACUCUUCUUAAGCUCAAUACCUUCUCAUUAAGUUUCUGUUCCCUCUUUCAUGAUUCUCAUCUCACAGUCUCCAACCUGGGACUCCAAACUUGGUUUGUCUGCCACCACGCUGUCCCAGCCCAUUUUCUGACAUGUACUCUCUGUGUCCCCCUCCGUGUUCUCUCUGUGUCCUCAUGCCCCACCCGUGUCUUUGUGUCUUCCCUGUGUCUUCUCCCCAUGUCCUUUCUGUCUCUCCUGUGCCAUGUAUCAAUUCCACCCAUGCAGAGUAUUGUUUAAGGGCAUGUAUUUAAAUUACGUUCUGCGUCCCUUUUGAUCUCAUUCUGUUUUGCAGCUCGAUGGGGUUUAAGGAUUUCUGGGGCUCCUCUAGCCAGUGGUUUAAGCACUGUUAAAUCUGUGGAGCAGAUAAUGGAACACCAUAAGCCCCUUGUUCGUGCAUGGCUUGUAUGCAGGCAGGUUUUGUGAUAGCUGUGGGAAGUUCACUUAAAGAUGAAAUGGGGGUUACCUUGCUCAGUGAGGUCUGUUUUUCCAGCCCAAUAGGCUACAUGGCUAGUGACAGAGUGAGGUCAAUCUACCAGGCUGGGACCUGAGCUUAAGAAAACCCCUGGGCCACAGUAGCCAUUUUCUUCAUCCUCACUUGGUACAAUACAGUCUCCACUACUCAAGCAUACUGAACACAAAUAUUCUGUUCCCGUUUUGUCUGGUUCUCUCCUAUAUUGUCCUUACAAAUUUGUCAGUGGUAACAGAUGCCAGGGCAUAAUUCUCAGAGCACACUGUGGCCGACCACCCCGGGGUGCUAUGGUUCUUUCUGUUUCUACGGCAGAUCUGGCUUUGUAUUUAUAGGAAACAAGGGAUUGUCCUCUACUGGGCCACUUCAUUAGGAUCACCCCAAAUAUCUCCAUUCCAGUUGUCUGGUAUGCUGUUAAUUUCCUAACCUGUACGAUACCCAAACCCCCCUGCCCCUCUUCCUUCUGUCCCCUGACCCCCCCCAUUAAAUAGCUAGCUCUGCAGCUAUGGGACCCGACAGUGUGAUGAGGCAAGGCCUCUGAUCUACUGAAUACUGAGACUGGCACAGAGAGGCUCUACAACUGAUUUGGAUCUUCCUGA